rnacentral:ncRNA from 2 species
UCUUUACCCAUUAUUCUUGGUCCAGAGCCGCACCAUUUGGUGUAUCUGGUUAAAAGGGAACGUGGUGACCUGGCGACGGGAACUCCAUGACUGCCCCCGCAACUGUGAGCGGCGAGCGAAGCUGAAAAUGCCACUGCCGGAUGUCCGGUCGGGAAGGCCAGCCAAGCGUCGACCCGCAAGUCAGGAGACCUGCCAAGAGUGAACACCCGGU